rnacentral:rRNA from 1 species
GAUGAACGCUAGCGGCAGGCCUAACACAUACAAGUCGAGGGGUAACUAGAGUGAUAGCAAUAUUACUUUGGCUAGACCGGCGCACGGGUGCGUAACACGUAUGCAACCUACCUUAUACUGGGGAAUAACUUCGAGAAAUCGGCGCUAAUACCCCAUAACAUUGCGAAGAGGCAUCUCUUUGCAAUUAAAGCUCCGGCGGUAUAAGAUGGGCAUGCGUCCAAUUAGCUAGUUGGUGAGGUAACGGCUCACCAAGGCUACGAUUGGUAGUGGUUCUAAGAGGAUGAUCCCCCACACUGGUACUGAGACACGGACCAGACUCCUACGGGAGGCAGCAGUGAGGAAUAUUGCGCAAUGGACGAAAGUCUGACGCAGCCAUGCCGCGUGCAGGAUGACGGCCCUAUGGGUUGUAAACUGCUUUUGUACGGGAAUAAACCCUUCUACGUGUAGGAGGCUGAAGGUACCGUAAGAAUAAGCACCGGCUAACUCCGUGCCAGCCGCCGCCGUAAGAC